rnacentral:lncRNA from 1 species
ACGCGCCCUGACGGAGUCCCAGCAAGCGCGGGCCCGUCUUCCUCGCGUCUCCUCGGGGAGCGUCGUCGCCGCCACCCUGGGCGCUGAGAGCUUGCGGAGCCGAGCCGCUGUCGAGUCCCAGCGGAAAGAAGCCCAAGGUGCCGGAGAAGCCCGGUCGUGGACGUUGUUGCUCCCUCAUCUUCGAGACCCGCACGCCCUGCGGAGAGGAAAUGACAGGCACGCCGCGACCGUGGGGCGGGGCUCGCACGAGCUCCGGGUUUCCAGAGGCAGGGGCCGGGGCCGUAGAAGGCAGAGUCGCGCGGGGAAGGCCCGGUACCCCGCCCCUUCCGCACCGACCCCUCCCCCGCGGAGCUGGCCCCGGCCCCGGGCCUGUGGAGUGGACGCCGAGGGCGGCGGGCGGCUUCCGAGUUGGACAGAACGGGAGCUGCCGGCGGGAGCAGAGCUGCGAGGAGGUGGCCUUUGAGGGCAGCGCGGGGUCGAAAUCCCAUCCCAGCGCUGUGACCUCUUGGAGCCCACAUUGCCUCUUUGGUGGAGGGGAGGGAGUGGUCCAGCUCCGAGCCGAGCCUGGGAGCUGAAUGACCCAGUGUGCAAGGCGCACCUCGGAGACCGAAAGCAACCGCUCCCCCGGCUUCAAUUUCACACCACCUGCAGAUACACGUCUCAGAAUCUGCGGCUAGGAAGACCUGGGCCGCCAGAAGCUAAACGUGUGCAUUUUGUCAUCAGCCCCGGUUUCUCGUUUUAGAGUGAGUUCCCACCUGCCCUACCUAAACUGACCUGAAACGGAAAGUUGUAUGCCCCCACGACCAUCCUCACUGCAGAACUGCAGAGGGUUUUAAGCUCCUUAUUACCUGUUUCUUAUAAUCCUGUCCCUUUCCAGGCGAGUAUUUAUCGGAUAGUUCUACUUGUUUUAUCAAACUUCCUUUUCUUUUGACUUUAUAAAAAGCAAUGCCGGGAGGCUGAGGCGGGAGAAUCGCUUGAACCCGGGAGGCGGAGGUUGCAGUGAGCUGAGAUCUCGCCAUUGCACUCCAUUCUGGGCAACAAGAGCGAAACUCCGUCUCAAAAAAAAAAAACAAUGUUCGUCCUUAAAAUUAUGUGCAGAAGUUUACUGAAAAGUACAAGUUACUAUUUUUCCUUCUGAAGCACUCCUCACAGGUAACCCCUGUUAGUUUCACAGGUAACCUUAAAAUGCUUAACACAUAUUUGUUGAAUGAAUAAGUGCCCCCCAGUGAAUUUCCUUUGCCUGUACAAACAUAUAUGUACAUACCUUGCUUUUUCUAUUUAACAGUACACUUUUAUCAUUUAACAUCUGCGUGGUAUGGUACUCCAUCCGAUAACCAUCGGAUGUACUAUUAUUUAACCACUCCGCUAUUAAUAGACAUUCAUGCUGUUUAUAUUUUUUGGUUAUAAUAAACAUUGUUGCAGGCGGGAUCAUUGAACAACACAUGGAGUGUCUGACUCAAGCCUUGAGUUGUUUUUCCGGGAGCUGAGAAUCAGUGUGGUGAUAUCGAAAUAACAUGAGCUUGGAAUCUGAAGGUACUGGCUAGGGAGAAGAGCUGCUCAUGUGCUCCCGAUAGAAAGUCCCCCUUGGUCGGGAAGGUUAGGGCCAUCCUCUGACUCAGCAGUUUUAGGAAAUAGAGGGGGAGAAGGAAGGUAUGUACCUUCCUUCCACCAGGGAGGCACGCCCAGCCCUAACCAGCCAGCGAGGCAGUAGGUCCUCCUAGCUCAUCUUCACAACCUGGGCUGGUGUCGGGAAGACUUUCGUUCCAAUGCUAGCUUUGGAAUCCUGGCCUCCAUCCCUUAAAAGCUUUGUGAUCUUAGGUAAGUCACAUCACACUAUCUCAAAGCCCCCGUUUCCUCACAGAAUGGUUGUUUUAGAGUUAUGUUUGUAAAUUACCUGGCACAUGUAGGCAUGUGACAGACUGUAACCAAUGUUACUCAAGGUCAUUUUGCACUGAUUCAUACUUUGAGCCAUUUCCUACUGUAGACUCUAGCACACAUUUUCAAGGCAGCUUCCUGAUAAUAAGGCUGUAGGAUAUUUUUGGGAAAUAAAUCCAAAUUGGCCAUUAAAACCAGAUUCCUGACUUUGCCUGCAUGUGUCAUCUGGAAAGCAAUCGGCAUAAAUUCCUUCAUUUCUUUGGUAACUAUUUAAUGAGUGUUUAUGUGCCACGGAUUGCAGAGGUUAUAAGAAGAGAGCCUUAGGCCGGGCGCUGUGGCUCACACCCAUAAUCCCAGCACUUUGGGAGGCUGAGGCGGGAGGAUCACGAGGUCAGGAGUUCAAGACCAGCCUGGCCAAGAUGGUGAAACCCCAUCUCUACUAAAAAUAAAAAAAAUUAGCCGGGCACGAUGGCAGGCGCCGGUAAUCCCAGCUACUCGGGAGGCUAAGGCAGGAGAAUCGCUUGAACCCGGGUGGCAGAGGUUGCCGAGAUUGCACCACUGCACUCCAGCCUAGGCGACAGAGCAAGACUCCGUCUUAAAAAAAAAAAAAAAAAAAAAGGAACAGAGCCUUUUCUCACCAGUUCACAGCCUCAUCAAGAGUUAAGACAUACUCAUGAGGAAAUUGAAAGUAUAAGACAAUACAGUAGAUAGAAAAGCUGUCAGAUAUGCAGUCUAGACUUCAGAGGAGGAAAGCUAUAGCUUUUAGUUAGAAUGAUGGGGAGAAGAUUUUAUCAUAAAGAUGUCAUGAUGGCACUGGAAUAGGAGAGCUUUGAGUGUCUAUUUAGACAGUCCCUGUCACAGUCUAUGAGAAUCAUCAUUUGGCUUGGAGGGGAAUUCCCUGCAGGCCAGGGUAUGUGCCUGGCAUCUCAAAAUGAAUCAGCACAUUUUCUUCUGGAAACAUUGUUAGACAUUUAUUUAAACUACAGUUCAGUGAUGAGUUAUGUUAAGCUUUCUUUCUCCUUCUCACUGUAUACAUAUGUAAACUUGUGUGACCUAAAGGAUCAGUGUGUCCAGUAAUGGGAAACUUUGUUCCACUGCUCUGAACAGCUAACUUACAGAUGAACUUUUGCAACACCACCUGUUUGCACAUUAGAAACUAUUAAUACGAUGAGGAGGCAUUGAAAGUUUUUGAGCAAAGAGGCAAUCUCAAAAUAUUUUAGUGAAGUAAUCUGGCAGGGUGCAGGAUGGAUUUCAGCUGCAGAGCUUUAAAGGUUAUUGCUGAAGCCUGGGUGUAAGGUAACAGCAGGGACAGAUGCAAAAGACAAUAAGCAAACUUAUAAACUAGACAAAGCAGCUUCCAAAAAAAAAAAUCACGUAAUUUACCUGGUAACUGGAUUCAUCCUUAAUUCAGUAAAUAUUAAGUGGCCGGGUGCAGUGGCUCACGCCUGUAAUCCCAGCACUUUGGGAGGCCGAGGCGGGUGGAUCAUGAGGUCAGAAGAUCAAGACCAUCCUGGCUAACAUGGUGAAACCCCAUCUCUACUAAAAAUACAAAAGAAUUAGCUGGGUGUGGUGGCACACGCCCGUAGUCCCAGCUACUCGGGAGGCUGAGGCAGGAGAAUCACUUGAACCUGGGAGGUGGAGGUUGCAGUGAGCCAAGAUCGCAUCAUUGCACUCCAGCCUGGGUGACAGAGCGAGACUCCAUCUCAAAAAAAAAAAAAAAAAAAAAUUUGCACAGUUACUAGGUGUUAGGCACUGUAGUGGGCACAGAGGCUAGAACAUGAACAAAACAAAGCUCCUGUCCUCACGGAGUUUACAGUUUAGUGGGGAACAAGUCAUUCACUCAUUCAACAAAUACUUGAGGGCCUACUAUGCCAGACAUUGAUCUACGAGCUGAGGAUUCAGCAGUAAGUAAAAUUUUAAAAUCCCAGCUUUCAUAGAGCUUAUAUUCUGAUAGAGAAUACAGGCACCAAGUAUGUCCAAGGAGAAAAGUAAAGCAGGGAGCACGCUGAGGUUUGCAGAAGCAGGCAGUGGAGCCACAGAGGUGGCAGGAAGUUUGGCAGUGGAUGACAAGAGAAACAAUGCUUGGUGGUGAGAGCAGUGGGGCUCAUGAAGUAUUUUUCAGGAUAGUGGAAGCAGAGGAUUAGCAGCCAGGAAAUAAUAAGGAGUGAAUAUUUGGAGGGAAGAUGAGCUAAGGGCGCUUCAAAGAGCUUUGGGAAGUAAAGUGUCACCAACCAGAAGGCUAAGUGGGUAAAGGAGAGGGGGACCUCAGGCCCUCAAGGGUAGCAGUGUCAGGGAUGAAGAUCAGUGCAGUGGAGGUUGGAGGGACCUGUGAAAUCCAUUAUUUCAGACAGCAACAUGGACUUCAAAGCUGCUGAGUGCUAGGUAGCAAGGGAGGGAACGUGUGCUGUGAUCAUCCAGGAAGGAAGCAGUGGGUGGUGAAUCAGAACUCAGAGAAGGCAGGUAAACUGACCGACAGGGACUUUAAAUUAGGAGCAAGAUGGGGACCACUCAGCAUACUGGUCCAAGAGGGAAGGAAGAGAGGAUAUGAUAUGAUGCCUGGUGUCUCCCUCUGAUGGAAGUGGAAACGGGCCCUUUCUCCCACACCUGCAAGCCUGAUGCCACACCAAGAGACUUGGCAGUGGGCCUUGCCCUGCCCUGAUGUAGCCCCCAGAAAUCAAGUGAAUGUAAGUUCCAUGAUUCCAGGGACCAUCUCUUUAUCUGUAUCCUCUGGAGACCCAGUGCCUGGUAGGUGCUUGAUACCUGUUGAAUUAAAGUGAAGCCACACACACAGUGUGAGAGUUGGACAGAAUGUCAGAUACAAUUAGUUGAACCCUCUCUUGAGUUCACUUUUUGGGGUGUGGGCCAAACUUGGGGUCUAACUCAGGGUCAGCUUCUUCCCCUGACUCCAAACCGUUUAGCAGGAAUUUUCUCACUCAACCUUUAUAUUAUUAAAUCAGUGGUUUUGCAAGUGUAGUCUGAGGACCCGCAGGGCUCCCUAAGACCUUUUCAAAGGAUCUUCAGAGUCAAAACAUGUUCACAAUACUAAGAUGUGAUUUGCCUUUUUCACUUUCAUUUGCUUAUGACUGUACAGUGUUUGCCAGAGCCUACAUGACAUGUGAUACAACAGACCAAAUGCAGAGCUGACAUGCGAAUCCAGACAUUAGAAACCUAAAAAAAUGUGGAACAAUGCCACUUGAACAGUUUUGCUUUGUUGUUGUUGUUUGUUUUUGAGACUGAGUCUCUCUCUUGCCCAAGCUGGGAGUGCAGUGGUACGAUCAUGGCUCACUGCAGCCUUGACCUCCUGGACUGAAGUGAACCUCCCACCUCAGCUUCCUGAGUAGCUGGGACUGCAGGUGUACACACCACCACACCACUAUGCCUGGCUUUUUUUUUUUCUUUUGAGACAGAGUCUUGCUCUGUCACUCAGGUGGGAGCUGGAGUGCUGUGGCAUGAUCUCGGCUCACUGCAUCCUCCACCUCCUGGGUUCAAGUAAUUCUCCUGCCUCAGCCUCCCGAGUAGCUGGGAUUACAGGUAUAUGCCACCAUGCCCAGCUAAUAUUUAUGUUGUUUAAGUAGAGACGGGGUUUUGCCAUGUUGGUCAGGCUGGUCUCAAACUCCUGACCUCAGGUGAUCUACCCACCUCAGCCUCUGAAAGUGCUGGGAUUACAGGUGUGAGCCACUGCGUCUGGCUGCUAUUUUUUUUUUUUUUAAUUUUUAAAUUUUUUGUAGAGACAACAGUCUCACUAUGUUGCCCAAGCUGGUCUUGAACUCCUGGCCUCAAGCCAUCCUCCCACCUCAGCCUCCCAAAGUGUUGGGAUUACAGGCAUGAGCCACUGUGCCUAGCCUGGUUUUGACUCCUAAGAUGCUAAAUAUCAAUAGGUAAGAUAGGUAUACACAAGAGCUCUUUGGUGUCCUCAAAAAAAUUUCAAAAUAUAAAAGGAUCCCGGCUGGGCACAGUGACAAACACCUGUAAUCCCAGCACUUCGGAAGGCUGAGGAGGGAGGAUGGCUCAAGGCCAGGAGUUCAAGACCAGCCUGGGCAACAUAGUGAAACCCUCAUCUCUACAAAAAAAAUUUAAAAAAUUAGCCAGGCUGGGCACGAUGGCUCACACGUGUAAUCCCAGCACUUUGGGAGGCCAAGGUAGGUGGAUUACCUGAGGUCAGGGGUUCAAGACCAGCCUGACCGAUAUGGUGAAACCCCAUCUCUACUAAAAAUACAAAAAAAAAAAAAAAUUAGCUGGGCAUGGUGGCGGGCACCUGUAAUCUCAGCUACUCUGGAGGCUGAGGCACAAGAAUCACCUGAACCUGGGAGGCAGAGGCUGCGGUGAGCCAAGAUCACGCCACUGCACUCCAGCCUGGGCGACAGAGUGAGAUUCCAUCUCAAAAACAAACAAAAUUAGGCAGGUGUGGUGGUGUGUGGCUGUAGUCCUAGCUGCUCAGGAGGCUGAGGCAGGAGGAUCACUUGAGCUCAAGAGUUCAAGGCUGCAGUGAGCCAUGAGCACACCAUUGCACUCCAGCCUGGGCGGCAGAGCAGUACCCUGCAUGUAAAUAAAUAAGGAGUCUUGAGGGCAAAAUAUUUGCGAAAUGCUAGAUUGAAUCCUGCACCCCAGCUUCCUAGCUCCCUUUUUUGUGGGAACCCAAGUGGUAAGAAAGAUCUAAUGUAAAUACAUUCAAAACCCACAGCUUUCUCUUGUGGGACUGCGGGGCACAGCCCUGAGGAAUUAUCAUGCACUAAUUGUCCCUGUGACCAGGCCGCCAUCUCACUAGAGA